CAGAGGGUGCGAGCGUUAAUCGGAAUUACUGGGCGUAAAGCGUGCGUAGACGGUUAUUUAAGUCGGGUGUGAAAGCCCCGGGCUCAACCUGGGAAUUGCAUUCGAGACUGAAUAGCUAGGGUACGGUAGGGGGAAGCGGAAUUUCCGGUGUAGCGGUGAAAUGCGUAGAUAUCGGAAGGAACAUCAGUGGCGAAAGCGGCUUCCUGGACCAGUACCGACGUUCAGGCACGAAAGCGUGGGGAGCAAACAGGAUUAGAUACCCUGGUAGUCCACGCCAUAAACGAUGAGGACUAGACGUUGGAGGGGUAAGCCUUUCAGUGUCGUAGCUAACGCGCUAAGUCCUCCGCCUGGGGAGUACGGCCGCAAGGUUG
rnacentral:rRNA from 1 species